GUGGGGAAUAUUGGACGAUGGGGGGAACCCUGAUCCAGCCAUGCCGCGUGUGUGAAGAAGGCCUUUUGGUUGUAAAGCACUUUAAGCGAGGAGGAGGCUACCGAGAUUAAUACUCUUGGAUAGUGGACGUUACUCGCAGAAUAAGCACCGGCUAACUCUGUGCCAGCAGCCGCGGUAAUACAGAGGGUGCAAGCGUUAAUCGGAUUUACUGGGCGUAAAGCGCGCGUAGGUGGCCAAUUAAGUCAAAUGUGAAAUCCCCGAGCUUAACUUGGGAAUUGCAUUCGAUACUGGUUGGCUAGAGUAUGGGAGAGGAUGGUAGAAUUCCAGGUGUAGCGGUGAAAUGCGUAGAGAUCUGGAGGAAUACCGAUGGCGAAGGCAGCCAUCUGGCCUAAUACUGACACUGAGGUGCGAAAGCAUGGGGAGCAAACAGGAUUAGAUACCCGAGUAGUCC
rnacentral:rRNA from 1 species